rnacentral:rRNA from 1 species
UACAGAGGGUGCAAGCGUUAAUCGGAAUUACUGGGCGUAAAGGGCGCGUAGGUGGUUGCGUAAGUGAGAUGUGAAAUCCCCGGGCUCAACCUGGGAACUGCGUCUUAUACUGCGUAGCUUGAGUACAAUAGAGGGUAGUGGAAUUUCCGGUGUAGCGGUGAAAUGCGUAGAUAUCGGAAGGAACACCAGUGGCGAAGGCGGCUACCUGGACAGCAACUGACACUCAACUGCGAAAGCGUGGGGAGCAAACAGG